AAUUAAGGCAAAUAGAGGAGAUUAAUCCCCCCAUGUAAGAAGCAAAUUUGGCUCAGAGACUAUAUGAAUGAUUGACUGUUGAAUUGGAUUUCCCCUGAGUCUGUGGUUUAUUGUCGCUUAAACUUGGUAAAAGUCGCAGAUGCCGACCCUUCCAUUCUAAGGAAAAUUCGUUUGCUCUUCCAUAAUAACUUGCACCAACAUCAAAUUGCCACAUUCUUCCCAAGAUUAGGUGACAAACAUCCAUUUCCAGAAUGUGACACAGAACAUCACAUACAUAUUGUUUUCUAAUGGGAAAUGUUACUUGACACAUUUUCGUAACCAUCAUCUCCAUACACUGAUUUUGUAUGGAUAUGGAUUUUUUGUAGUUUUAAAUUGAAGAGCUUGGACAACACAUCUGGAGAUUAUAUUCUCAGUAUAGCCACUAUCGAUGAGAAGGUCGUAGACCUUGCUGUUAAUGGAACUCUGCGUCCUGAAGAUGGCAUUGCGCUGAGAAGCAAUGGAUUGUCGAGGGGCUAUCAAUAAUUUCUUCAUGACGCAAAGUAACGGCUCUCCUUCAUCCCCUUCAAUGUCUUCAACUUCUCCCCCUCCUACUUCUAUAUGGCUCGUGCCAUCUCCUGCUUCAGCUUCUACUAUAUGUAGUUGUUGUCUUUGUGGACAUUCCAGGUUGGAAACAAUAUAAGCAUUUAAGUGCAGAGGGCUUAACAUAAGGAUUGGCUUUAGCUUUCAUUUUAAAUUUGAGAUGAGAUUUGCUAUCUUGAGGGACUCCAGCUUAUUUAUUUGCAUGAAUAGCAUGAGUGAAGGAUUGUGCGACACUUGUGUUCUUGAAAACAAAUGGAUUAUUCUUGUUUGUUUCUUGUGUAAUUUCAGGAAAAUGACGUCGGUUGUGGUGAAGCCGAUAAGGAUGAUUUUGCUGCAUUUUUUGCCUUCAACGCAAAAUUUAUAGCCCAUGAUAGAGACCAUACCGAAUUCAGCUCCAAUUUAUCUUGUAUACUAUCCUUGAUACCACCAAUACAUUGGGCUACUAGUUAAUUAGUGGACUCGUUGUUGUUAUUUCUCGCACUCAACAUGUAAAAUUCUUCAGUAUAGUUAUUCAUGGAACGAUUACUUUGGAUACAAUGCUGAUACUUCAUGUAUAAUAUUUGCUCAUAGUCCAUAGAGAGAAAACGGGUUCGCAACAAUUGUUUCAUCCGUAUCCAACUGCGCACCUGGCCUUUCCCUUCACGUUGCCUCAUCUGUAAUAGAUUCCAUUGAUAAAACGGAGGUCGGUGAUUCUCAUUACCUUCAUCUUUUCAUCAGAGUCCAACAAAUCCAUUCCACGAAGUAUUUGAGUAUCAUCUUCUGAAUCUGAUACUUCUUGAGUUGGCAGGGGGGUUCGACGCAUCUAUCGGUCAAGGUCCAUUCCUCUACGAGCACCCUGUAUGGUUGCCGGUGCUAUAUCUCUGUGGAACUGAUGGGGUGGUUUCCUUGUCCGAUUGAGAUUAAACUCACCUUGCAUUUCAAUGGAUUGAUGUUAAACGUCGGCAGAAAACUCCUCAAGCUGUCGUGAGAUAUUUAGCUUGGUAACUAAUUACAUAUCAAGUGAAUCCCUCUUCUCCAACUUGGAAUAUUGGAGUUCAGCUAAAUUUGAAGUUCAAUUUGUAUUUGAAUGGAGGCACAGCACAGACCAAAUGAAAUCAAGUUCGUCCAUGAAACAGAUGAAAAUGUUUGGUAUCUGGCUGGCUUAAGUUUAGACAUCUAUCACCCUCUCAACUAACCUCUCACCCACCAAAACACCUAGUAAAAAUCACCUUGAAUACAAUUUGAAUAAUAUUUUGGGCAAUCAUCAUCUUAUGUCAGUAUUAAUCAGUUCUUGCCGUCUAUCUGCAAGUUCAAAUUCUAACCUCUAUCCAAGAUGGCGUGUCGAACUUUGUCCAUAUUUGAGUUGCUAGUUCUCAGCAGCUAAGAAAUUAUAGCAUGCAAACGAAUUGGCAAUAAGUUGCAUAGUUGUUUAAGCUCUUUAACAGAAAUAUUUUUUGACCAAUGGGUACAAAAAUAUUAUUUUAGCUUUCCUUUUAUACCCUUCCAAAGUGAUGAAGAUUAUAAUCCUAAGAUAUCAACAUACAACAAUAAUAACAACAUCAAAUCUUUAUCUUAUCAUGUGGGGUCAGUUACAUGAAUUUUUUUUCUCUAUUGUGUCCUAUUAAGAUAUAAUCCUAGGAUAUCAUUUAAAUAAAAUCAAAUUAUCAAAAAUACUAAAAUUCAACCUUUAUGAAGAUUUUCUGUCUACUUAAACACAAAUUUGAAUGAAAAGAUCAUAGCAUUUUAAUCUCUUAUCCUUUUAAAUUGGUUACACUCCCACAAAACAUGGAGAUACAUUGAAGCCCUAAGCCGGACUCUCUUUCAUCUCAUUUGUUUCUUGCUAAUCUCCAAUCUCCAAUCUCCAAUCUCCACUCACUUCAUUAGUGAUUUUCUUGUUGUUCUUUGUUUCUGUCAUUAACUUAUUAAUCAUCGUUGUUGAAGUCCUCUGCUGACAUAUCCCUCAUUUUGUUUUAUUAAUCAUCGUUGUUGAAGUCCUCUGCUGAGAUAUCCCUAAAUUCGGCUCAUUUUGUUUUAUUUUGAAAUUUAUUUAUGUUUGAUUUUAUAUAUUUGUGUCAAUUAAAUUUUAAUUUUUGAAUUAAUUUCAUUCUUCUUAUAUUUGAUCUUAAUUAUAUUUAAUAUGAAAUUUAUGAGGCUUACAUUGAACCUCAUUAUAGCUAAAAUACCUACUUUAUUAAAGCAUUGUCAAGUAGCCAAUUUGACAUGCUUUAAUGGUUCCUGCGAUCAAGUUUCAAGUCUUUCAGUCUUUUGAACUGAACAUGGUAGCUUGCGACUGCUAAUUUUUUAUGUUAAUUCUGGCCAUUUGACAAACUGCUGGGACAAACAACAGGGCUCUGACUGUCUCUUUAAAGAGAACAAGUGUGGGACCCAAAAAAAAAAAACGCCAUAAGUUAUGUCGUCUUAAAUAUUAAUGGGCUGAUUGGCAACAAUCAAUAUUUGACUCAAGUAGGAUUUAGUAAAUCUUGAGAGAUUAAAACUCGAAAAUUGUUUGCAUAUCCACUGUUAAAUCUUGUUAAAUCCUGCUAAAUUCAUGAAUAUUUAUUUUAAGAUCUAAGUUUUAUGAGAGGAAUAAAUUUUUAAAUUUGUUAAAUCCGAUGAAUUUUAUGAGAUUAAGCAAACCCUGAAUUUAGUUAAUGACAAAGUUAAUAUUGGAUUUACUAAAAUAAUAAAUUUGAAGUCAUUGAAAUUUUGUCUGGCAGAAAAUAGGAUACCAAACAGCCCCUAAAAGUCUCUUGGCUCUGGAAGGGGAACAACCUUGAACUGUCUCUAUUAUCAUUAUCAUGUUUGUAAGCUCUUAUUAAGACAAACUUAUAUAUAUAUAUAUAUUUCAUGAAGCAAUGAUGAUUUGAUGGCACAAGGCAGCUUUUUUAUCAGCUUUUUGUCUCUGCAAUUCAGUCUCUUUUAGCGUUUGGAGAUUACUUGCUGUCAUUUCCUGUAUGGAGAAUCCUGUGAGUUUUACCAUCUUCCAGCUUUGACUUAAAUUUCAUGAAGCAGUUCGCAACCUGUAUUUGUUAUGUUCUCAAUGAUUAGCAUUUCAAAAUAUCAUCCUAAAUAAAUACAAGUUGGUUGAACCUAUUACCUACCGCCUAAUAGACUAAGAUUUUGACAGACUACCAGCUUAGCACUUUCACAUUAUUUUCAAGCUGUUGCUGCUCGACAAAAAAACUUAUCACUAUUUCCUUUAUAUAUUACAGUUCUUUUCUAUUGUUCUUUAUUCUCAGGAUUCAAACUACUCAGUACUCAACUGCAACAUUUCAACUUCUAUUGUGUACCUGCUACUGGUUUCCAUGCUAUUUUUUUCUCUCUGACUUGAUCCAAUAUCACAAAUCUAUACUUUUUUGCUUCAAGGCUUUGUGCUCAAUCAAUAUUUGCUAGCUGCCAGUAUAAAAAUACUAGUCUAGAUUAUUCUGUGCGGACAUCGGACGGGAGAACCAUCCGGUACCGCUCGGUAUCGAGUUCGGUACACUUUUGGGGUGAUGUGGCGCAUUUUUAUUGGUUUCUGGGCGACGUCCUGACACCGCACGUAAUAAUUUGCCCUGAAAUGGAAACCUCACCUUACUCCACCUCAUGUUUCUCCAACCUACCCGGUUACCUAAAGAGUCAAGCAACCUCUUCUAACCAAAUCCUUAUAACACCUUAAAAGCACUAUUCUUAAUGUGUCCCCAUGUCAUUAAGGAUUUCACUCAUGAAAACCUUGGUUUCCUUCCUCUCCCAUUUCCUUGAGGAUGUUUCCAAGGCAUGGAUAGGAGGUGAAGAAUGCACAACAGAGGAGUUUCAAAUGGAUUGCUGUGUCUGCCUUUCAAGCUUGGAUGAAGGAGAUGUAACAAGGAAGUUGCCCUGCCACCAUAUGUUCCAUCGGGGCUGUGUCGAUCAAUGGUUGGCUAUGCGUCGAAGGACCUGCCCUCUCUGUCGCCUGUCGGUCGAUGCGCAGCCUUUGGCUGCUGGGGAUUUGGACUUCAAUGAUGAACUGGUUAUUAGGUUCUCAGCUUUUCUUGCUCCAGGUUACUGAAAUGAAGAACAAGGCUACAGAAACCAAAAUUGGAUCCUAGAAGAUUAUUGACUGACUCAUUAAAUCCUGAUUUUAUAUUACUUAUUUUGCCUUGUGAAGCUUUGUGGGAAAAAAAUUGCUUAAGAUUUUAGUCGGGUUUCCAGGUGAAAGUUAUGUUCUGUUGCAUUAUGUUGAAUUCAUGUGCAGCUGCAGGCCGACAGCAAAGCUGCUACAGACAAAUAGACAAAUCUUAUCAGAAUUCUGUUAUGGAUUUCAGAUAGUUUAGUUUUUUUUUUUUUUUUUGUGAAUUUUUGUUAGUUUUUAUGUCCUUCGGUAAAGUAAAAAGAAAAAAAAAAGUUAAUUUUCCUGAUAGUGAUUUUAGAUGCUUUGUCAAUGGCAAUUCAGUGGCCCAUAGCGAUUAGUAUCAUUACAUGCUUUUACAAACUAUGGGAUUAUUUGAUUGUAAGAUUUAUAGUU